GAUGAACGCUGGCGGCGUGCCUAAUACAUGCAAGUCGAGCGAACGGACGAGAAGCUUGCUUCUCUGAUGUUAGCGGCGGACGGGUGAGUAACACGUGGAUAACCUACCUAUAAGACUGGGAUAACUUCGGGAAACCGGAGCUAAUACCGGAUAAUAUUUUGAACCGCAUGGUUCAAAAGUAAAAGACGGUCUUGCUGUCACUUAUAGAUGGAUCCGCGCUGCAUUAGCUAGUUGGUAAGGUAACGGCUUACCAAGGCAACGAUGCAUAGCCGACCUGAGAGGGUGAUCGGCCACACUGGAACUGAGACACGGUCCAGACUCCUACGGGAGGCAGCAGUAGGGAAUCUUCCGCAAUGGGCGAAAGCCUGACGGAGCAACGCCGCGUGAGUGAUGAAGGUCUUCGGAUCGUAAAACUCUGUUAUUAGGGAAGAACAUAUGUGUAAGUAACUGUGCACAUCUGGACGGUACCUAAUCAGAAGGCCACGGCUAACUACGU
rnacentral:rRNA from 1 species